UCCGAAUUUCACCACAUUUGCAGCAGG
rnacentral:piRNA from 1 species